rnacentral:rRNA from 1 species
AGAGUUUGAUCCUGGCUCAGGAUGAACGCUAGCUACAGGCUUAACACAUGCAAGUCGAGGGGAAACGAUAUUGGAAGCUUGCUUCCGAUAGGCGUCGACCGGCGCACGGGUGAGUAACGCGUAUCCAACCUGCCCAUCACUUGGGGAUAACCUUGCGAAAGUAAGACUAAUACCCAAUGACGUCUCUAGAAGACAUCUGAAAGAGAUUAAAGAUUUAUCGGUGAUGGAUGGGGAUGCGUCUGAUUAGCUUGUUGGCGGGGUAACGGCCACCAAGGCGACGAUCAGUAGGGGUUCUGGAGAGGAAGGUCCCCCANAUUGGAACUGAGACACGGUCCAAACUCCUACGGGAGGCA